GGGGUGAUAGCUCAGUUGGGAGAGCGUACGACUGAAGUUACUCAGUCACCUAAUCGUAAGGUCGCUGGUUCGAUCCCGGCUCACCCCA
rfam:Neosartorya fischeri NRRL 181 1099437636264 genomic scaffold, whole genome shotgun sequence.